GAUGAAGAACGCAGCGAAAUGCGAUAAGUAAUGUGAAUUGCAGAAUUCAGUGAAUCAUCGAAUCUUUGAACGCACAUUGCGCCCUCUGGUAUUCCGGGGGGCAUGCCUGUUCGAGCGUCAUUAUAACCACUCAAGCUCUCGCUUGGUAUUGGGGUUCGCGGUUCCGCGGCCCCUAAAAUCAGUGGCGGUGCCUGUCGGCUCUACGCGUAGUAAUACUCCUCGCGAUUGAGUCCGGUAGGUCUACUUGCCAGCAACCCCCAAUUUUUACAGGUUGACCUCCGAUCAGGUAGGGAUACCCGCUGAACUUAAGCAUAUCAAUAGCGGAGGA
rnacentral:misc_RNA from 1 species